rnacentral:rRNA from 1 species
AGAUUCACUUCGGUGAUGACGCUGGGAACGCGAUCGGCGGAUGGGUGAGUAACACGUGGGUAACCUGCCCUAAAGUCUGGGAUACCACUUGGAAACAGGUGCUAAUACCGGAUAACAACAAUAGCUGCAUGGCUAUUGCUUAAAAGGCGGCGAAAGCUGUCGCUAAAGGAUGGACCCGCGGUGCAUUAGCUAGUUGGUAAGGUAAUGGCUUACCAAGGCGACGAUGCAUAGCCGAGUUGAGAGACUGAUCGGCCACAUUGGGACUGAGACACGGCCCAAACUCCUACGGGAGGCAGCAGUAGGGAAUCUUCCACAAUGGGCGAAAGCCUGAUGGAGCAACGCCGCGUGAGUGAAGAAGGUUUUCGGAUCGUAAAGCUCUGUUGUUGGUGAAGAAGGAUAGAGGUAGUAACUGGCCCCUAUUUGACGGUAAUCAACCAGAAAGUCACGGCUAACUACGUGCCAGCAGCCGCGGUAAUACGUAGGUGGCAAGCGUUGUCCGGAUUUAUUGGGCGUAAAGCGAGCGCAGGCGGAAAGAUAAGUCUGAUGUGAAAGCCCCCGGCUUAACCGAGGAAUUGCAUCGGAAACUGUGUUUCUUGAGUGCAGAAGAGGAGAGUGGAACUCCAUGUGUAGUGGUGGAAUGCGUAGAUAUAUGGAAGAACACCAGUGGCGAAGGCGGCUCUCUGGUCUGUAACUGACGCUGAGGCUCGAAAGCAUGGGUAGCGAACAGGAUUAGAUACCCUGGUAGUCCAUGCCGUAAACGAUGAGUGCUAAGUGUUGGGAGGUUUCCGCCUCUCAGUGCUGCAGCUAACGCAUUA